AUUGAACGCUGGCGGCAUGCUUUACACAUGCAAGUCGAACGGUAACAGGUCUUCGGAUGCUGACGAGUGGCGGACGGGUGCGUAACGCGUAGGAAUCUGCCUAUUAGUGGGGGACAACUUAGGGAAACUUAAGCUAAUACCGCAUACGCCCUACGGGGGAAAGGAGGGGACCUUCGGGCCUUGCGCGAUUGGAUAUGCCCAGGUGGGAUUAGCUUGUUGGUGAGGUAAUGGCUCACCAAGGCGACGAUCCCUAGCUGGUCUGAGAGGAUGAUCAGCCACACUGGAACUGAGACACGGUCCAGACUCCUACGGGAGGCAGCAGUGGGGAAUAUUGCACAAUGGGGGGAAACCCUGAUGCAGCCAUGCCGCGUGUGUGAAGAAGGCC
rnacentral:rRNA from 1 species